rnacentral:rRNA from 1 species
UACGAAGGGGGCUAGCGUUGCUCGGAAUCACUGGGCGUAAAGCGCACGUAGGCGGACUCUUAAGUCAGGGGUGAAAUCCUGGAGCUCAACUCCAGAACUGCCUUUGAUACUGGCGAUCUCGAGUCCGGGAGAGGUGAGUGGAACUGCGAGUGUAGAGGUGAAAUUCGUAGAUAUUCGCAAGAACACCAGUGGCGAAGGCGGCUCACUGGCCCGAUACUGACGCUGAGGCACGAAAGCAUGGGGAGCAAC